rnacentral:rRNA from 1 species
GUUAAAAAGCUCGUAGUCGGAUUUCAGUAUUAGGCCCUUCUUCCAAUACGGUUGCUAGUGGUCUUUACUUCCUUAACAGAAUCUUUCAUCUCAUUAAUUUGGGGUGUUUGGGGCCUGUUUCUUUUACUUUGAGAAAAUUAGAGUGUUCAAAGCGGGUUUUCGCCUGGAUAUUACUCUUGGAAUAAUAAUAUAGGACUUUGGUUCUUUUUUGUUGGUGACUUAGAACCGAAGUAAUGAUUGAUAGGGACAGUUGGGGUCAUUCGUACUAUGAAGCGAGAGGUGAAAUUCAUGGACCUUUGUAUGACGAACUACUGCGAAAGCAUUUGACUAGGAUGUUCCCGUUGAUCAAGAACGAAAGUUGGGGGAUCGAAGACGAUCAGAUACCGUCGUAGUCUCAACCAUAAACUAUGCCAGCUAGGGAUUGGAGGAAGAUCAUUUUACGUCUCCUUCAGCACCUUAUGAGAAAUCAAAGCAUUUGGGUUCCGGGGGGAGUAUGGUCGCAAGGCUGAAACUUAAAGGAAUUGACGGGAGGGCACCACCAGGAGUGGAGCCUGCGGCUUAAUUUGAUUCAACACGGGAAA